AAUGAACGCUGGCGGCGUGCUUAACACAUGCAAGUCGAACGAGGCGGAGGGGGGCAACCCCUCCAGUCGAGUGGCGGACGGGUGAGUAACACGUGGGUAACCUGCCCGGAAGUGGGGAACACCUCGGGGAAACUCGAGCUAAUACCGCAUGACAUCUUCGGGACGAAAGUCCUGACGAUCAAAGCGGGGCCGCAAGGCCUCGCGCUUCCGGAUGGGCCCGCGCCCGAUUAGCUAGUUGGCGAGGUAACGGCUCACCAA
rnacentral:rRNA from 1 species